rnacentral:ribozyme from 1 species
CUCAACCCGAAAAGACAAGAGGAAAGAGGAAAGAAGAAGAAAAAAAAGAAACGAGAAAAGAACGAACAAGUCCAAGGGAGUUAGCUUAUCCCCGUAGUGGUGGUGGUGGUUGCGGUGUUUGUGUAUUCUAUCGUC